AGGACGAACGCUGGCGGCGUGCUUAACACAUGCAAGUCGAGCGGAAAGGCCCUUCGGGGUACUCGAGCGGCGAACGGGUGAGUAACACGUGAGCAAUCUGCCCUUAGCUUCGGGAUAGCUCCGGGAAACCGGAAUUAAUACCGAAUAUGACUUCGGCCGACAUCGGCCUUGGUGGAAAGUUUUUCGGCUAGGGAUGAACUCGCGGCCUAUCAGCUUGUUGGUGGGGUAAUGGCCUACCAAGGCGACGACGGGUAGCCGGCCUGAGAGGGCGACCGGCCACACUGGGACUGAGACACGGCCCAGACUCCUACGGGAGGCAGCAGUGGGGAAUUUUGCGCAAUGGGGGAAACCCUGACGCAGCAACGCCGCGUGGAGGAUGAAAUCCCUUGGGAUGUAAACUCCUUUCGAUCGGGAAGAUAAUGACGGUACCGAGAGAAGAAGCCCCGGCUAACUUCGCGCCAGCAGCCGC
rnacentral:rRNA from 1 species